CCUACGGGAGGCAGCAGUGAGGAAUAUUGGUCAAUGGACGAGAGUCUGAACCAGCCAAGUAGCGUGAAGGAGGACGGCCCAAUGGGUUGUAAACUUCUUUUAUAAAGGAAUAAAACGAGGCACGUGUGCCUUGUUGCAUGUACGUUAUGAAUAAGGAUCGGCUAACUCCGUGCCAGCAGCCGCGGUAAUACGGAGGAUCCGAGCGUUAUCCGGAUUGAUUGGGUUUAAAGGGAGCGUAGCUGGGUUGUUAAGUCCGUGGUGAAAGUGUGCGGCUCCACCGUCAAAUGGCAAUUGAUACGGGCAGUCUUUAGUACAGUUGAGGUAUGCGGAAUUCGUGGUGUAGCGG
rnacentral:rRNA from 1 species